rnacentral:rRNA from 1 species
CAGGUGCUGCAUGGCUGUCGUCAGCUCGUGCUGUGAAGUGUUGGGUUAAGUCCCGCAACGAGCGCAACCCCUCGCUGCCUGUUGCCACCACGAGAGGUGGGGACUCAGGCGGGACCGCCGGUGACAAACCGGAGGAAGGUGGGGACGGACGUCAAGUCAUCAUGGCCCUUAUGUCCUGGGCGUACACACGUGCUACAAUGGCCGGUACAGAGCGCAGCGAGGCCGCGAGGCGGAGCGAAUCGCUUAAAGCCGGUCCCAGUACGGAUUGGAGUCUGCAACCCGACUCCAUGAAGUUGGAAUCGCUAGUAAUCGCGCAUCAGCAUGGCGCGGUGAAUACGUUCCCGGGCCUU